UAUGUCCAUAUGGGAGAUAUAAAAACAUACACGUUUAUGCUAUGGAAAAAGCACAUGGCUAUAAGAAAGUUAAAGAUCUGUCAGCAUGACAUGGAGCUAAGGAACAGAAUAAUAAAAAAAAUGAUCGCCAUUCCCACCAAAUUUGUUUCAUCGAACAAAUCGCCUUAAUAACAUUUUGCUUGAAAACCACUGUUCAUUUUGUCUCGUUGUAGGUAAUAUUUAUUAUUAGUUAAUUUAAUAUUAAUUAAUAUUUAUAUAUAUAUAUUUAUUGUACUUAUUUAUAUUUAUUAUAAAAUUAAUUUUAAUUAAUAUCAAAUAAAUAUGGUGCGAUGC